rnacentral:rRNA from 1 species
AGCAGUAGGGAAUUUUUCGCAAUGGGCGAAAACCUGACGCAGCGACGCCGCGUGAGCGAAGAAGGCCUUCGGGUUGUAAAGGUCUGUUUUGAGGGGAGAAGGAGCGCCGUUCGAAGAGGGCGGCGCGGUGACGGUACCUCACGAGGAAGCCCCGGCUAACUACGUGCCAGCAGCCGCGGUAAUACGUAGGGGGCGAGCGUUUUCCGGAAUUAUUGGGCGUAAAGCGCGCGCAGGCGGUUCCUUAAGUCUGAUGUGAAAGCCCCCGGCUCAACCGUGGAGGGUCAUUGGAAACUGGGGGACUUGAGUGCAGGAGAGGAGAGCGGAAUUCCCCGUGUAGCGGUGAAAUGCGUAGAGAUGUGGAGGAACACCAGUGGCGAAGGCGGCUCUCUGGCCCGCAACUGACGCUGAGGCGCGAAAGCGUGGGGAGCAAACAGGAUUAGAUACCCUGGUAGUCCACGCCGUAAACGAUGAGUGGUAAGUGUUAGAGGGGUCACACCCUUUAGUGCCGCAGCUAACGCAAUAAGCACUCCGCCUGGA